rnacentral:rRNA from 1 species
CGGAGUUAGUGGCGGACGGGUGAGUAACACGUGGGAACGUGCCUUUAGGUUCGGAAUAACUCAGGGAAACUUGUGCUAAUACCGAAUGUGCCCUUCGGGGGAAAGAUUUAUCGCCUUUAGAGCGGCCCGCGUCUGAUUAGCUAGUUGGUGAGGUAAAGGCUCACCAAGGCGACGAUCAGUAGCUGGUCUGAGAGGAUGAUCAGCCACAUUGGGACUGAGACACGGCCCAAACUCCUACGGGAGGCAGCAGUGGGGAAUCUUGCGCAAUGGGCGAAAGCCUGACGCAGCCAUGCCGCGUGAAUGAUGAAGGUCUUAGGAUUGUAAAAUUCUUUCACCGGGGACGAUAAUGACGGUACCCGGAGAAGAAGCCCCGGCUAACUUCGUGCCAGCAGCCGCGGUAAUACGAAGGGGGCUAGCGUUGCUCGGAAUUACUGGGCGUAAAGGGAGCGUAGGCGGACAUUUAAGUCAGGGGUGAAAUCCCGGGGCUCAACCUCGGAAUUGCCUUUGAUACUGGGUGUCUUGAGUAUGAGAGAGGUGUGUGGAACUCCGAGUGUAGAGGUGAAAUUCGUAGAUAUUCGGAAGA